rnacentral:ncRNA from 2 species
GAGGGGAAAGGUUCCAUGUGAACGGCA